GACGGAGGAUGCAAGCGUUAUCCGGAAUGAUUGGGCGUAAAGCGUCCGCAGGUGGCAGUUCAAGUCUGCUGUCAAAGACCGGGGCUUAACUUCGGAAAGGCAGUGGAAACUGAACAGCUAGAGUAUGGUAGGGGCAGAGGGAAUUCCUGGUGUAGCGGUGAAAUGCGUAGAGAUCAGGAAGAACACCGGAGGCGAAGGCGGCUUGCUGGGCAUGGUCUGACGCUGAGGCGCGAAAGCGUGGGGAGCGAACAGG
rnacentral:rRNA from 1 species